UACAGCAGUGUCACAGAGCCAAAGGCCUCAGUCUCACCAGUUACCACCAUCAGUAUGUCCAGCUUGGUGUUGUUUCUCAGGGAGGUCCCCGGAUGGCUGCUGUGGGUUGGGGUCUUCCUGCCUGUCACUCUGCUGUUGAUACAGAUCAUGGUUUACCUGAAUUGGAAGCUGAAGGAAGUAGAGGCAGAGUUGUCUGCAGCACCUUACCCCAGGGACAUGGCCUCCAGGCAGCGCAACAGAACCACAUCACCCAGGCAGAGACGACGGGCUGGGGGGAGAAUGUACACCUAAGAAGGGGAACUGUGGAUGGCCCAACGCUGGAUAUUGCCCUGCUGGGUACAGUACAGCCCUCUGAGAACUAAUAUGCAAACAGAACAGUGUCACAGUGAGAGUACAGUGGAUGGAGAUGCUGAAUACAAGGACUGAGGACUAUACACCACCAGAUCAUGAAUAAAACACGAGCUAAGCCAUGGAGUGAAGCAACAACCAAUAUGGAAUUCCAAAUUACGGUUAACAAGGUGUUGGAAUGCAGAGACAAAGUGCAUUUUUAUUGCUGCAAUUAUAGUGUUACCUUUCUAAGAAUGGUUCAAGUUAUUUUCAGAAUAUUUCCUUAUGGUUGAAAAGGUUAAGAAACUGAGAAGUCCACAAUAAGCUUUUGUUAAAGGGAUACUUCAGUGUUUUGGUACUGAGGUACUUCCCCAGAGUCAGAUUAACUUGUGGAUACCAUUUUCAUGUCUCUGCGUGUAGUUUUAAGGAAGUUGCUAGCAUGCUAGCAGAUACCCAUAGACUUCCCAUGUAUUGUAUUAAAGAAUUACAUUUUUAUGAUAA